UUAAGCUUAGUUGCCAGCAUUAAGUUGGGCACUCUAAGUUGACUGCCGGUGACAAACCGGAGGAAGGUGGGGAUGACGUCAAAUCAUCAUGCCCCUUAUGAUUUGGGCUACACACGUGCUACAAUGGACGGUACAAAGGGCAGCGAACCCGCGAGGUCAAGCAAAUCCCAUAAAGCCGUUCUCAGUUCGGAUUGUAGUCUGCAACUCGACUACAUGAAGCUGGAAUCGCUAGUAAUCGUAGAUCAGCAUGCUACGGUGAAUACGUUCCCGGGUCUUGUACACACCGCCCGUCACACCACGAGAGUUUGUAACACCCGAAGCCGGUGGAGUAACCUUUUAGGAACUAGCCGUCGAAGGUGGGACAAAUGAUUGGGGUGAAGUCGUAACAAGGUAGCCGUAUCGGAAGGUGCGGCUGGAUCACCUCCUUUCUAAGGAUAUUAUUCGGAAC
rnacentral:rRNA from 1 species